rnacentral:rRNA from 1 species
GACGAACGCUGGCGGCGUGCUUAACACAUGCAAGUCGAACGGAAAGGCCCUGCUUUUGUGGGGUGCUCGAGUGGCGAACGGGUGAGUAACACGUGAGUAACCUGCCCUUGACUUUGGGAUAACUUCAGGAAACUGGGGCUAAUACCGGAUAGGAGCUCCUGCUGCAUGGUGGGGGUUGGAAAGUUUCGGCGGUUGGGGAUGGACUCGCGGCUUAUCAGCUUGUUGGUGGGGUAGUGGCUUACCAAGGCUUUGACGGGUAGCCGGCCUGAGAGGGUGACCGGCCACAGUGGGACUGAGAUACGGCCCAGGCUCCUACGGGAGGCAGGAGUGGGGAAGAUUGCACAACGGGCGGAGGCCUGAUGCAGCAACGCCGCGUGCGGGAGGACGGCCUUCGGGUUGUAAACCGCUUUCGCCUGUGACGAAGCGUGAGUGACGGUAAUGGGUAAAGAAGCACCGGCUAACUACGU